rnacentral:misc_RNA from 1 species
GUGAAUCAUCAAAUUUUUGAACGCAAAUUGCACUCUCUUCGGAGAGUAUGCCUGUUUGAGGGUCAGUAUUUAUAAAUAUCGGUGUGUUGCGUUUCUGUGACGCUUCGGUGUUUGGGUCAUCUUUAUAUCCUUUAGGUUUUAAGAGGCUUAAAAUUGACUUUUUUUGCGCAUUUUAGAUGUACAUAAUUUCUUUUUUUUAUUCGUUUGUCUUAAUGCUUAAAAUCCUAUUAGAUGCGAUCAUAUC